GCCGUUUGAGGGAGAUGAUGAUGAUGAUGAUGAUGCUGAUGGCCAUGCCCUUUGUAAAGAGUGGACGUCGCAGUUCUUUCUGCAAGCAUCGCUUGUUGUCAAAUGGUCAAGUGAGCCCAGUUUUAAUAUUAAACAGGGAUGUACAAGUCAUGCCUGGGAACCAUCCUCUCAUAGCAUGUUAGAGUCAAGAACCCUCCCCUUCCUUUUGACCGGUGCCCCAAGAGGAAACGAGCAGAGAUUUGAUCCAAUUGAAUUAAGUACUUGUUAUGUUGCCCUGUUGCAGGAUCUAUACAGCCAUAUGUGGGACGCAUCUUCCAUUGUUUGCCCUGACUUAAUCUUUCCUCAGAAUAAAUGCAAGUAAACACAUACUCUGUGUAAGAAUGCCUUGUUCAACACCAGAAAGAAUACCUUCUUUAAGACCAAAAACAAAUUUGCUUCAUUUUACAAGUGAUUUAUUUCCAAUGGCCUCUUGCCUGUGUUCAAGACACACUGAAGGCACAUCUUACAUUCAAACGAAAUAUUGCUUUGCACAGCUAAUGUAACAUAUUCCUUGUUGUUGCCUGCAAUAACCUUGCAAGCAAGAAACAUGUUUUGUUGUUGUUUAUAUGAAUGAGCUUAAAAACAAGUCUGUAAUUGGGCAUCAUAAAUAAUGCUGCUUAUAUAUUCAUUUUACACAUAUGUCUUUCAAGGUACCUCUAGUUGUCAGUACCCAGACAUUCGCUGAAAUAUCCAGUCUUGCUAUUUCAACCUUCAUCAUCCACAAACGCAUUUGCAUCCAAAGUGGCACCUUCAUAUCCCAGUUUCACAUGUUGUCCGAGAACUUUCAUACGUGCAGACAGAGCUUGUUGUGCUUGCUGACUCCUCUUAGGUCUCUUCAAGCUUCCUCACAUCUUGUCUUUCAAUGCGUGUGCGUGACAUCGUUUGUUUUUCCAGUGCUUCCUGCAUCCCGUCUGUUGUUUCAGCCUUCCUGAAACCAUGUCAAUGACUAAGAGAUACAACAUGUUUGUAUGUGGAAAAGUUCACAGGAUCCUCGCUUGACAUUUUUGCAAUGCUACGCUUGCUAUUCAGUGUUUGCUUUUCCUGGGUAUCCCAUGGCCUUCCCCAAACGCGACCACACAUUUCAGCUCUCGUUGAUGUCGGGCAUUCAUGAUGGGGCACAGUCUAAUGAUGCCAUCUUCCCUCCCUUCUUAUGCCUCUUACAUUUUGUUUAUGACUGUGCUGAGAACAUCAACCACAAAGUUGUAGAUUUCGUCGGGUGCUUGAGCCUUUGGGCUUGAACUUGCAUUGCGAGCACUUGGCUACUGCUGCAGUAAGCGAAGAGUCGAACUGCCUUUCUAACGUUCACUGUAUAAUACCCCAAAAACAGAAUCACAUGGCGCGCUGAUGGCACACACUAUACGCCCUUUCUUCGUCUUUCCCCAACAGCUACCAUCUCUGUGUGUUUUGCCAUGGAUGGCACCUUUCCAGCCUUUGCAUGUUGAUGAAACGCCUCCACAUUAAUGGUGCAUCACCGUGCACCAAGAGAAAUUCAGGAUGUGGAGUCUCGUCACUGCAAUGAUGCUUGCAGGCUGUUUUUAUCUCCUAUGCAGUGUUCUGUUUCACUAUUGUAGCCUCUUGCAGCCAUAUCCAUUCAUUUGUACGGAGAGCUUGAGAGAUCUGUUUUAUGUGCUAACAUUCACUUUGUACUGUUCCACUGUCUUUAUGAUGCAGUAGAAUAAUCUGGAGCUUCAUCAUGUUCCAUAAGGCAAAGUAAUUUUUAGCCUUGCACGUCCUGUAACUUAUUUUUAAGCUUUGUCAUACCAACAACAACAAGACAUCUUUGCCUAACAAGGACACAGGUGUAGCACACAAUAUCAUGGCAUCAAAUGUCACCACAAUUGUGGCUACUAUUUCAGUAGCACACUGCCUUCCAGGCAUAUAUAUGGUACAAAUGCACACACAGUAUCCAGACUACAAAGAAAUUCUUUUCCUUUUUUUUUUCAAUGCUUCUGCAAUGUUUUCAGCUGUUUCCUUUACUCCCCAAAUCGUGCUUAAACUACUACUUCUGUGACGAACUUGUAGUACAGUGCUGACUUCUGUGUACAGUAAAACCCCCAGUGUACAGUGAAACCUCUAAUUACAGAGAUCCCCUCAGGUCACACGCCUCCGUUUGACCGGACAGCAGCCAUUGCCUAGGAAGUAGUAUUUAGCAUCUCUUAUGGACGUCCGUUCUAUGAGCAACUUCCUUUCAUCUACAGAAACACCAGACAUUGACUGUUUGUACUAGACAGAUCUCACCACAUUCCACAUUUCUUUUUUUGCACCAUUGCAUGAUUUUCCAUAAACACAAUACAACUAGGCUUUCCAGUGUUCUGUGUUUAUAUUUUCCGAGGUGGCAUAAGAUAGGGCGAAGAAAAUUGACACAGAGAAGUUAUCCUAUUAUUUCAUUAUGUUAUUAGACAAUUCAAUGUUGUACCACUGUAAUUUGGUUUGGUGUUCAUUUUUGCUGUGUUUCGGGAGAUCUCAAAAAUUCUAAACACUGGAAACCCUAAAUACAACACAUACAGUACCCACAUACAAUGAGUAGAUACACAAGGACCAGUACAGCAUCUGCCAUUCUUUUACUUUUUAUGUUUCUUUUCUCUAUGCUUAAUGCAAAUGUUUUUUACAGAUGAUGGACGAAAGUGUACUCAUCAUGAGGGUCAAUCAUUUCCUUCAUUCCUAUGACCUUCUGGCAGCCAAGGACACUUGGCCACUUCACACAUUACGGACGACGAACACAUAAAGCAGUCCAGUGAACUUCGAUGCAACUUAGCCGCAACUAUAACGAAUGUCUGAAGCUUGUACGCUUAUGUAUCAGGUCACCCCAUGAAAUGUUAUGAAAUUCUGGCACUACAAAAUUAAUUAAGAACACACUUGUCAUCAAACAACAAUGACAACACAAUGGUGUGUAACAGAAUUCAAAAUCUAAUUCCACAGUCCUGCUUUUUAGUUGUAGGGCUAAAUUUUUUUACACCAUAUGCCGGAUAAACAAUAUGAGUAGGAAAUAUUUUCCCACUGACGUUUCUGUAACUUCUUGCAGGUCCUCCUUGCCGCCCAUAGGCAGGCAUUAUCUCUCUGCAGCCCACCCUUACAAUUGACCUGUGCUGGGGGCUUCUUCGACUCUUCCAGCUGCUAGCAGUAGGUGUUCGCAGUGACUUUCCAGCUCAGUGGAGACAAUCUCGCAUGGAUGAUACCAUGCACCCUCCACUAGGCAUACAACGCCAAUUUCCGCAGCUGAAGUUCGCCUUGCUGCAGUUGCUUGAAGUUGCCUUACACACACACCUUGCUGAUACAACUUGCUGCAGUUUGAUCUCGUUGCGUGCACAGUCUGAGUAUACCUUCUUAUUUAGAACUAGUGUCACAAUGUUGCUGUAGCUCGUGACCUGCUUAUCGCAUGAUACCCGUUGCAUAAACCCGUGAAAGACAACAUUUGGGGUGACCUUAUACGUGAAGAUAGUGCAGUGAACAAUUGACACUGUGCAUACUAGCAACCACAUUAAAGAAAGAUCAGUCCAAAGAAAGUGCUCAAUUAGGAUAAUUGUAUCUGUUCUGAAACUAGUGCUCUAUAGGCUACGUUUCUUCUUUUUUAAAUUUUCCUACACUUCCCUGUUGCUUCAGAAAGCAGGUGUAAUAUCUUCCAAAUCUUUGAGGGCAUUUUCCCACAUACAGUGUUAAGUGGUUAAUCUUUUUCCAUUUUGCACGGCAAUUUUCGACGUGGCAGCGUGUUCCACCAGCAGUUUAGGCAGGUUUGACUGGAGCAGGCUGUUUGGAUGUAUCUAGCACACAUAUGUUUGACACGUCUUUUGCACUGGCAUGUCAAGCGAGCCAACUUCAUCAGUAUACUGCUUUUAGAUAGUGCUUUUGUAUCUUCCAGACAGGAAAGACAUUGCUUUCUUUGCCCUUGGCUAAUAGCCACAGCCUUUUUACAAAUCUUUUCCCCAAUCUGGAGCUUGCUAUGUUUAUUCAAACCAACAUCAUAAUUUUACCCAACUUAGCCCCACACCCCCCCUGAUAACCUCACAAGUAUUAAUAUAUAUAAUUUUUGUCAUUUGCGAGUUUCUCAAUGUGCUUACGAGCUGGAAAGGAGCAAGAGACGUUGGGCACACUGUACUUCUCAAUCCUUUCCAUCUUUUUGAUGCACAAAACCCUUACCAUAUGCUCGGAAUGACAACUAAUAUACUGCUACUAAUAAUGUUAAAUAGAUUAAUAUAUAAAUAAAUAAAAAAUUAACUUAGCAAUUUCCGGAGUUGCACAUUGUGCACCCUAGUUUCUUGGUAAACACCACUACUUUUGCUGUGCUUGCUCUUCUGUCUGGGGAUAACACUAAACACGAUUCCACACUGGUCGGAAAGAACAUCAAGUUACAUGACUUUUUAAAACCCUAGAGCUUUAUGCAUUUGCCACUGGACAGAGCAUGUAAGUGACCCCAUUUGUCACUUUUGCCCUCAAUCACGUGCCAACAUGUUUAUUGGGCGGAGAGAUUACUUUUUUGUCUGCGCUCUACCUCUGCAUACCUGUGUGUUAGCAGUGAUUCUGCAGCCUUGCUCAUGGUGCCGUGCAGGGCAUUUUAAAAGCAUUUUGUAUUCUGUAGCAUAGACUUUCACAUUGCUUUAUCUCUUUACAGUCAAGAGCAUACGAAAAGUGCAAUUUGACUGAUGUCGAUUACCUUGAGUAUUGUAUGUGAUACUGCCGUAACUUUUCCACUUACACGCUUUGUGUUCAACCAGAUGAAGCCAUCUUCAUCCCAUCCGAGUGUGUGUGGUGACUCUCGAUGGCAUCUUAGCACACAUCCCAGAGCACUCACUUGCUGCGAGAGCAUCAGCUCGGGAUGGAGCCAUGCGACAUUGUGGGCCUCUUCAGGGGCCCACGGUGCCAAAGGCCUAACUUUUGCUGCGGCCAAGCAUAUGAACCCAUCACAUACGGUGAGUCCACCAUGCCCUUUCUUACUGCGCUGUUAGGAAUGUGCACUUUCUUUCAAGGAGGUGUUUCACAAGAAAGUUUUUUAAGUAGUCAUCCAUUAGGGAUUCCUUUAUAUAGUCAUCUCUGUAUCACUUGUCAUUACAGCGCAAGCCUGAAUGUAAUAUGAUGAGCCCUAUACCUUCUGUGGUACUCCAUAGGCCCCUCUCCGUGGAGGGCACCUGAAUGUACCAGUGUCGGCGACAUUAACACAUUUCUUAUGCCAGGACUGUUUGCACACAGUGCACUCUACUCUGUCUUCCUGGUUCGUCGGCAGUCUACAGUUCAGGCAGGUGUCUGCUGUCUCUGUGACACAAUCCCUGCUGAGGCAGUUCCCUGUGAUUGUAUCGUAUAUGUGCCUUCUCAUUUGUAGCACAUCACAUUCUCUAUGGAAACCAUCAGCGUCAUUCUUACAAAAUAAUUCGGCGUACCAGCACACAAGCACGCCACAGCUGCUUGUAUCAGUUUGGAGUGUCUGCAUCACUUUGUCAAAUUGCCAAUGUCUUCUUCGAUGUGCAAACAAUUUACGUCCGUACUUCUUGCUGAGAAACUCGCACACAAGAAGUGCGGCCUUUUUGACCCUUUCCGAUUCCCACGACAGUGGAUCUAAGCAAUAGAUUGAUCCCAUCCAUGUCGUAACGACAAUGAGGGUCCAGUGCGACGAAUCAAUGUUGUAUGGUACAAAGAUUGUGUGCUUGUCAUAGAUGUUGCUGGACGUUGUCCACCACUUAUACUUUUUAACUGCGUCCACUCCUCUCGAUUCUAGCAUCUGAGUGAAGUACGUAGGGCACAUCGCUGUGCCGCUAUACAUUUCGGUCAACCUUUGGAGGAAGCAGUCGAUCACCGUAUCGUAGAGCCAGCCCCUUCUGAAUGUGUCAGAAUCUUCACGCAAGCAUUUUUCUUCUGCUUCUGAAAUUUCUGUGUCAAUAGACUUCAAAUCCCUGAGAGUUAGGUUCGUGUGCUUGAACCACAGAACGGUAUCACUCGGUUCCUUUGAGUACCGAAUGCUUACACUGAAGGAGCUGUCCGUGUUUUGUUUCUGCACAUGGCUUGCUGUACGAGCUAGCCUCUUCCUCUUUUUCUUUGGCUGUGCGCUUUCUGUAGUCUCGAACUCCGUGUCCGACAACAAAAACUUAGCGGAGCGGUCGCUUUGAGUGACACUUGUGUCACUGCCAACUGAACUGAUGGCCACUACCUCACUGUCAUGAGGUUGCAAUACGUCAUCUUCCACAGGAAAUUGUUCUGGGCUCACCUCCUUAGCCCUUGUGCUGCCCUUGUUUAUUGUACUUGUGGCGCUGAGCUGAGGCUGCACGCUUGCACACUUUUGCCUCAUCUCUACUCUCGUCUCUUGUCCUUCCUUGGUGUUUCCAGAGUGCUCCACACUGGAGCCUGCUUCAACAAAUACUUUGUGUUUUGUCCUUCUCUCAUGUCUGAAAACAUCCAUGUCCCUGUCGCCAGAUAUGCUAGGAGUGACAGGGCACUGGAACGCCCUGUCACGUUUUCGCACGGUUGAAUAUUUUACUCCUACGCAGUCACAGUGAUACCACUGCAUGCACGUAUCGCACUGCACCCACGUGCUGUGCUUUUCUUUGUUCUCACAGAUGAUGCACUCCUCAUCCACCAUGUGGCUCCGUUUCAAGCAGCCACCGACAAUGGUGCAAAAGAUGUGGUGGCGCAUUUUUAUUGUGUCACAUGCUCCGAGUCCCUGUCCAUAUCUGUUGCCUGCAGCCACCUGUUCCGCAAACCAGCACACAAUGACGCCACCACUCCCUUCCUCGCUGUGCAAGCUGUGUCGUACUACUUGAGGAGUCCAGGCACCUCCCAGGAAUAGGUGCUUGAGAAAAUCGGAUAAGUGAUCGUAAAGCAGGCUAGUCAUCUCCAUGUAUGACACUUCAUCACUUGUUGGAUCGAAAAGCAAGACUGUGUCCGUGUCACGCAAGGCAACAAAUAUUGCCCACUUCUCGUCUCGUUUGCAAUAUGGAAUGAAAAGCGUGUUUCUGCCUUCCAUGGACUUGGUGACAAGCAGUUGUUCUGCGAGUAAGUGUGCCACAUUGUCACACCUCAAAAGAGGCACCAAGUAAGCAUAACUGCUUGCAACUUUGUCAAACCUUAUGCUUAGCUUCAUUAAAAAUGCCUCAAUUAUUGCGUCAAAGAGGUAGCCCUUCCGAAAUAACUUGUCAGAUGCACUUAGCUUUGCUUCAUUAGAUUUGUCGAUUGUAUUGUCGAGAGACAUGAGAUCAAUGAGCCUGAUAGAUAUGUCUGUGGGCUCACCAAAUGCGAGUACAACUUCACUACUUGUCCCUGCGUAGUUGAGGCAGAUAGGUAAGGGAAGGGCAGGCUCGUAAUUUUCGGACUUCACCAUCCCGCAUUCCCUGUCUCUCUCCUCAUCAGGCAUCUCCAUUGCCAGAGCUUGGGUGGGGACAGUUGUUUUGUCCUGCAAUGCGACGGCAGUGCUGGGCACUAUGUCUUGUAAAGGUGACGCACCUGUGAGGGAAUGCACCUCUUUUUCCCUUGAAGAGGGCAUGCCAAUUUCCAUUGCUGUUUGCACUUCCUUUUGCUGUGGUGCAUCUACGCUUUGUUUUCCUUUUCCUUUGGUUUGACGGGCUUUCCUGUAACUGGACUGCUUUUCCAUUUUUUUUGCAGCAGGGAGAAAGCGGCAUUUCAUUUCGGGUACGCCUUGUGUGGUGCCCUCCGUUAUCAAAACCUCACACUCUGCUAGCAGUGUAUCUAUGGCCAAGGCAAUAUUCUGCCCUAACGUCUCAGAUACAACUUCAAUGUCCAGGUAGGAUGCUAGUUUCUUCAGUUUGUCCUUUGUGCUCAUCUCCCAGGCAUCUACAUUAGCAGUUUCUACUGCACUUUCUGCGUCUGGAUUGUAGUAUACUGUCAACCCUGGGGACUUGCAUGAUGGAGGUCGCUCCUCAGAGCGUGGCACGCAUCUACUGUGUACCUUGUGAAUGUGCUUGCAUAAGGGGUUGACAUCCUUACAGCUGCAAGAAUACAUGUGUGCACAGAGGUCAGUGCACACUUUGCUCGAGCAACGCUGGUAACAAAGAUCCUCUGUGCACGGCCCAAUGUCUUUGUGCGCCACUACUUCGUAGGGGUUGCUCCCUGUUUGGGAUUUCACGUGCCAUGCAGAAUGACCUAUUCUUGUGACAUCGUCAUCAGAAAUUUGCAUUCCCCGUUUGUGGCGUGCAUUAUCUCUCCUUCCUGGGACCCCAGGUUGUUGUGGGAGGUUGGAUACCAAAUGCCUCCUGUGCUCAUGAUACCAAUCCCGUUCAACAUCCAGUAGUGCUGCAACGAGCCUUUCAAUUCUUACGUUGGACUUCCUCUCGAGGUACUUUCGCUUCAACACGCUGUGGAAGCUCUCAGUGUGAUUAUUUGUGUCCGUGCAAGCAUGUGGGAACAUCCUCCGGCACAUGGCCCACUCGUCUACUCUGCUUAGAUACUCACACUCAAAGUAGUUGGCAAAGUUCUCGUCCACUUGCCUCACGUCGUGGAGAAACGACGUAGAAAGUUCCGCAAACUUUUCUUCAUUUUUUUCUCGCAAGAGAGCAUCUAGCAGUCUCAAGAUUUCACCUUUUGUACCUUUGCUCUUGUGCUUCCUUGCUGUGACAUUCAGCUUUCUGUGCCAUGCAUUUUUAAUGUGGUAGUGGCACAAAAUGUGCUUUAUUUCCUGACCCUUGAAAACACUUCUGAGUGCCUUCAUGUAGCUGCGCUCAUCAUCUGUCAUCACGGCAUUGAAGACAAGACCUGGGCACUUCCUCUUCACAGCGGCAAAAAACAUACCCAUGGUUUUUGUUGUCAUUCUAUUGCUAAUAAAAUGAGCUACAGGGUAUCCUCUUCCGCGCUCGUCAAGUACAACAACGUUUAGCAGGUGAAAUUUGUACAUAUUGGUUCCAUGUGUGUAAUCCAUGCACACAAUAGGGUUUGCACAACUCAUCAAAAUGUCUCUCUGUUCGUUUGACAUUAUUCCCAGUAGGAACAGGUCCCUGUUACAUGAAUGGAAUUUCACGUCCUUCAUGCCACAGAAAUCAACUCCAUCUUUCCCUUGUGCUUUGUACAGAAUGAAGGGAUUGUGGCCCUGCUGACUGAAGAACUUCACUGAGAGGGCAAGCGACUGCGCAUCUUCUCGAUGUCGCUGCGCUGCAAGGCGUGCACGGUACGCAGCCUGGUUAAUCUGUUUCUGUGUUAUGUAUACACGUCUGUCACGGCUUGAUACACGCUGCCUGGACCCCAGUGAUGACACCGGCAGAGUCACUUUCUUGAACACCACUCUUGAAGGAACUCCUACAGCAAUUUGAGUUUUUAUCCACCUUUGUACUCCACGUGAUUGGCGCAGGUGUUUCCUGUUUGAAUCGCUCAGUUUGUGACUGUGUGUCACAAUGUAGUUAACUCUAAUGCCAUCUCUGUGUCUUGUUACAUUCAUCUUUGAUAUGCAUGGGCUGCUACUAGCAACUGUUCCUUUUACGUUCCUGCGCAUGGUUUUUCGCUCAGUCACACAAGCUUGUGUCUGGCAGACAUAAUGCAGGUAACGUACCUGUGGCUUAUGCCCUUCUGUGGCAUGUGCUGUGUCAGACUGCCUCAGGAAAGUGGCAUGCACCUUUGAGGCUUGUGUUGUGGAAGAGUGCUUCAGGGAAGCACUAUGCCCUUCUGAAGCAUCAGGCUCCAGGCAAGUGGCGUGCCCAUCUGAAGCACGAAGCUCCAGGAAAGCGGUGUGCCCAUCUGAAGCACGAGGCUUCAGGAAAGCGGUGUGCCCAUCUGAAGCACGAGGCUUCAGGAAAGCGGUGUGCCCAUCUGAAGCACGAGGCUUCAGGCAAGCGGCGUGCCCAUCUGAAGCACGAAGCUCCAGGCAUGUGGCGUGCCCAUCUGAAGCACGAGGCUCCAGGCAAGUGGCGUGCCCAUCUGUAGCAUGAGGCUCCAGGCAAGCUGUGUGUCCCUCCGAAGCACGUUUUGUAGUACGCUGCUUCUGGUAACCACUAUUCCUUUUGGUGUCGUGUUUCUUUAUGGACUGCUUAAUAUAGGCAUAACCACACUUAUCUUCCUCGCUUUCCUUCCACUUCUCGAAGGCUGCAAGGCUAUCAAAGUGGUGGGUUUCAGUUUUUACGUUCAACUUAUGACAACGCAAGGUAUGUUCUGCCAGCCUGCUUGCAUGGUAGAAUUUCAUAUUGCAUUCCGAUACUGUACAUUGCCACUUUCCGAUCUUGCUGUGCUCUUUUCUUCUGCAGACUCUGCUGAGAUGUCUCUGAAGAUUGUGCUUAGAGGCAAACUUGCCUUGGCAGCGUGGACAAUUGUACAGUCGCAUUCUGGGCACCCAGACUUCUGAGACUAGCGCUUAUUUCAAUGCAAAGUGUUUGAUCACAGAGAAGAAAACAGAGACAUUAAUUCCAGAACUUUGACAGAGUAACUUUAUUGCACCUUUGCUGCUGCCUUUUCAGCACCUCUGAAUCUCCCAGAGCUUCUGUGCCAGCACCAGAAGUAUCUGUAAAGAAAGUGUCAAGUGCUCUAAUAAUCUGGGAUUGUGAGACUGCGCAACAGCUAAUGCAAAGCACAUUUCUCCCUUGUUUGUGCAGGAGUGCUAACUCAGGUUGACCCAUUGGACCAUGUUUGAUAAAUGUGUUCCAAAACUUCGUUCCAACUGAUUAAGGGGAACCAUUUUAACAUCACACAGAUCAUAUAAAUACCUAGGUCUUCUAGCACACCCUCACUUGGGUGACUCAUAUCACUUGCGUUAAAAAAGGCCUGUCACACUUUACGCUGUCUCAAAUGGUGCCCUUCUGCUCCACUGCACAACAUAAUCAAAUACAAUCAAAUUAAUAAUCGAAGACAUAACAGCAUUUUUGCACACGAAAUACAUUUGUUGCAAUUCAUUCUUUAGUUCAUAUUGUUCUCUCAUAACAUGCCUCUCAUAUCAUACCUGCAGUCUAGAGUUCACUAAAAUAAUGUUUUGAAAUUCCUGUUUGACAGCCCACUUAUAUCUACUAAAAGGCCAAAUUCAUUUAGUAGUCGUGGCAUCUGAUAAGUUAUACUUUUGUGUGCCAAUUGGAGUUGUACAAUCUUGGGUGGAACCAUUGAAUCUGGUUCCUAGUACAAUAAGACUGUCUCUAAUGUGAGGGUAGCCAUAGGCAAAACCUUUGUUUGUUAUUGCAUUCGCAGACGUUUGUAUCAGUGGAAAUUAACUUUUACGAUUCCAUACUUCUGGAAAUAUGCUUUAUGUGAUUGGUUCUGUUUCAAGUUUUUGAUAGCGUGUAUAUAUUGCUUUUGGAUUUUUUCCAUUGAGUGCAGGUUCUAUAGACCGCACGAGAUAAGACAAGAGAAGGCCUAUGGGCAAAGCAAGAUGGGAAUAACAGAGGUAGGAAAAAAAAAACACAUUACACACAGGGUUCCCGGUCUUCGGUAUUUACCAAAAAGCAACGAUAAGCGUAUGCCGGUAAAUUUUUUACAAGUUUGGCAGAAAUAAUUAUUCACUGAUUGCCGAAAAGCUGACUUCAAAUGUCAUGAUUGCAUUUCCUGUUCCUUCACCCUGAACUGGUUGGCAGCAGACAGUGGACCUUAGGUCGUUCUUGAAAGAACAGAUAUUUUGUCGUUAGCUUCUCACACAGUCUUAAUGUUGCCAAUAAUCAGGUUCCAGGCCAGCCCUGUUCGGUCAGGAAGCAGUGAUGGGCAGUACUUGAAGUACCAAGUACUCAAGCAGGAAGAGAGUUGCCUCAGGACAGGAGGCUCCUGUCCUGAAAAAUCACAAAAGUCUAUAAAAAAAAUGCACUCUACUAAAAGCACUAAAGUGAUGGCAAGAAAACGAAAACACACAGAUAGCGCUAUCUGUGUGUUUUUGUCUUCUUGCCAUCACUUUAGCACUUUUAGUGGGAUGCAGUACCAACAGUCCCAGUCUGACAUUUUACCAUUUGCUUUUAGAGAGCAUAUUUGUUGAAGUGAAUAUUUUGUUGAGUGGCUUGAAAUGUUGAGACAGUAUCAUUUCUACUAUGAUUAUGUAAAACGAACGGAAUGCAAAGACACACACACAUUAUGACAGAGCUACCGGCACCACAAUGACUUGGUCAGUUGUCAUUUCAGUUCUCCCAAAGCAGGGUUCUAUGCUUUUUUUUUAUAUUGUUUCCUCCGUAUAAACAUGAAGGCUUGGAUUGUGCUUCAUUCUUUUUAAGUUUCUUCGUAUUCUUUUUUAAACAUGUUGUAUUUCAAAAAGUAGCUAGGAAUGCCCAGAAAUAUAUAGUCUCUGUUGGCUUGUACUUUUUUUCCCUUAAAAUUUCCCAGCCUGUUAUAGCAGAAGAUUAGUACCGGAACAGCACACUAGGCGGGUGAUCUUGAUCAGUCAGUGUAUAAUACCCCUGUCACACGGGCAUUUCGAUCCUUCUCGAAUCCGAUCUGCAUCGAACUUCCCGAGCACGCUCGAGUUUUGACGCUGCUACACGGCCACUUUCAAUGCGCAUUGAAUGGUUGACCUGUGCAAAUGAAUAAACGGAACUCACUAAUUUUGUGUUUCCUAUAUAACAGCGAUAUUAGUGGUAAUUUAUCGUAUACUGAUGUAAGCAUCAUUUGUAGCUUUGCGCGCAUGUCCGUCUUAAGUUAUAACGGUUCACCGGGGUCGAGGAUACAAAUGGCGGCCGUCGAGCAGUCUUGAAAUUCUCAAUCCUGUUAUGGGAACUGUCUUGAGUCAAGCAGGAUCAAAGUUCGAUCCUGCUUGGAAGCGGCCGUGUAGCACCAUCCGAUCUGCAUUGGGUUCAAGCAGGUUCGGUCGAGCAGGAUCGAAAAUGCCCGUGUGACAGGGGUAUAAUACCAUUUUGCAUAAUCACAGCACAGCUGGCUAAUUACCUCUCUACAUGUAACUGCAAAUUAUGCCUACUGAUUAAGUUUGUAUUCAUGGGUUAGCACUUAACUUGUGACUUUAUGGCGUCAGAGCAUUUUUUCAGAAUGCUCGCUAAAGUUUUGCAAAAAAAAGCAAGCAAGACACAGAUAUUAAACAGCGAAAUGCAAAGUGAUACAAAUUGGCAAUGGACUUGAUGAGUACGUGAAGUACUUUACCUAGCACUUUUUACUGUACUUGAAGUACUAAUGAUGCCAGGUACUUUAAUUUAAGUAUAAUUUUGAGGUACUUUGCCCAUCACCAUCACGAAGUGCCCCAGCUAGAGCCUAUAGACCAUGAAGUGUAUCAGUGUGAACAAUUCACCUAUUCCACAAACACUGAAAACUAGGACACAGUCUGACCGAAAGAUUUGCCUUCUAGAAGAGAGCUCCUAUGCUAAUUCUUUACAGUGAAAUGAGCGGUGUGCGAUGUCACCUCAUGCGUGCACCUCCUCCGAUGUCGAACAUGUACCUCAGAAAAAUAUUAACCCCUGAUUUUAACAGUUGGCAUUGUAAUCUAUAAAGACACACAAGGACAUCAAGUGUUGGUUCUGUGUAUGCAUGGGGAACUCCCGUAACGUUCUUUGCCAGUUUCCAUCGGGCGUCUUCAUGCUUCAAAACAUUAGCACUGAAGGACACUGAUUUCUGAUGAGCGAAAUAGCCACCAAAUCUCUGAAAAAUUAAGCACCGAAAACCCGAAACCCUAAUUGUACAGCGUUAUCUUCACCCACUGGUAAGAAAUUUUUACACCUAGACAAUUUUCCCCGUAAUAAUGCAAGCUUACAGAAAACAUAAUUAACAUGAUCAUCCCAGAAAAGCGACUCAUGGAAAGAAACAUCAAGAAACUUGACCUUAUCCACUGUCUCUACCUCCUUGUUACCUAUUUUCAAAGGUGGAACCAAAUCGAGAUGUUCCUGGUGUUUCCUGGUCUUAACAUUCAUAGGCGGAGAGUUUUCAAUCAUCCAGAGGGGACCAGGGCACAACGCCCCCUCCCAUGCAGAGAGGUCAGGCAGAGUAUCAGGAAUUCUGUGUUAUGACGUUAUGAGACAAACUUUUACAGGAUUUUCAUUAUAACUCGCACGCAACAAGCGAUCGAUUCCUAGGAUAUCCCUCGAAACUUCCAUCUUGAGGAGGGUGCUCUGGAGGGUGCCUGGCCCCCCUCAUGGGAACGUUCCGGGGGGGUCAGGCCCCAGAGCCCCUCGCAGUCGACGCCUAUGUGAACAUUAAUGCCUUGCUUUACUUGAGCUUCAUACGAAUCAUAUUACAUUUUAUAUGUCCUAAGCCUAGGUGCAGUUAUUUAUCCAGACCCCCCACUACACCUGCCUAAAAAAACUAAUAAAAUUUUGCGAUGUUAUGCAAUAUUCUGUCAAAGAAUGGUGGUGUCCGCAUCUUGUGACCUUACACACCCCCAGGCACGAGAUUCUGGGUAAAUCACUGCUUAAUUGGGCGGGAGGGAGCACAUAGAUUGAUAAGGCACAAUAGGUCACGACCGUGGAAAGUAUGAUGACAACCUUAUUUGGUGAAUGGUGAUCGAGUGUCAUCACCAGGGAAAGUGAAAAGUGUGUCUAAUCAUGUGGAAGUACUGUGUAUUACUUUGUACAGCGAAAUAUCAUAUCUCAGUUGCCUGCAAUGUGAAGGUGGUGAUAGCCCACAUUUCAUUCGAACGUGUUGAAGUAUGUGCUGAUGCCAUUGUGUCCAUCAUACAGGAUAGAUGAAUCGAACUUGUUUGACUGAACUUGUGUUUACGCAGGGCUGGAGAGAGAAACUAUGGGCCCCAUGGGUGACCCUGGAUGAGUCCUGCAGGGGCACCCCUCCUAACGUCUGUUGGUACUAUAACUAUCGUGCCCUGAGCUGCGUGGCCCCUGGAUACCCCCCCUUGCGCCGUCCCUGGGUUUGCAGUGCUGCAGAUGACGGAAGAGAAAUGAAUAAUGGAAAUGACAUCAGGAACAAAUAGGACGUGUCAGGCUGGCACGACCUUAUAGGACGCCGGACACGUGACGGUGCGCGGAAGGCUGCGUUCGCUACAGACGCGUGCGGAACCAGCAUUGGAGUCGACUCAGACUUGAACGUAUCGUGAGUACUUUGCUAAGAAGGCACAAGUACUCCUCCUCCACCGUGUGUCAAAAUUCCUCAGCACACCCGCCUAUACGCCGGUGCUUCUUUUCCUUCUUUCUGGCAAAUCGACGCACACUAUCGCACCCCACCUAUAUAAGGCGCUCACCACUUGCUAUAGACAUACAUGCCCUCUGGUAAACCACGUCUUCUGGGCCUCCAUCCUCUUAGUUCCUCCCCGAUACUGAGAGUGAGUACACAUUUUACUUGCAUUUUCCAGUGUAUAAUGUUCGGCCCCAUGCAACCUACAUAAGCUGAAAUCAGUUAUAUAAAUGCAAUAGCGCCUGUCCGUGUCCGCCUUGUGUCCUCGACUGUUCGCGCGCUCCUCAGUUAUGACUUUGUACCAAGUGGGCAACGCUUCUACCUUGCUGUAAUAAGUUAGACGGACCCCCGUUGUACCUGACUGAAAAAUUUUCUUCGCGCUAAUGAGCGCAUAAGCAGAAGUAAUCAAUUUGUGUAUAUAACUUUGGCGAGGUCUGUAAGAACGAAUGGAGAUAGAAAUCACCAGGAAUAUUACUUUUGUUCGUGUGUGCGCUAGAAACCUUUCCCCUUCCGCAGAUAAGUGUGUCCAGAAAGGAUGAGUGUUUUGCUGAAGAAGAAAACUUGCGCGUUGUAGUGAAAAUAAACAAAAUAGGAGACAGCGACCUUUACGGUGCACACAUUUUUUUGCGGAGUGCUAAUUGUUCCGCUGUUUCAGAUGGCUCCCCCAACCAAUAGGUCUAGACACUGGGCAAAGCCCAGCCACCGAGACCGAAACCGAGACAGGAACCGAAGGCCACGACGACGGGACGCCGCGACGAUGGCGCAGAGCGAGCAAAACAGGGUCACGCUCCUCGCGUGGACUGAACCCUGGGGCAUGCAGCCACAGGGAGUACGCGGGGACCCGUGGCCCAACCGGUUCCAAGACAUCCGACCCGUACAGAUGGGCCAAGCGGCGGGGGAGCAGGAAGCGGAGGUCGUCACGGCACCUUCAGGGCACGUACUUGAGACGUGCCCAACUUGCGGCGCCUUCGCCGUCAGCAGGGCUGUGCACAUCCGCACGAAGCGACAUAUUGAAGCUCUGCUGGCGGCGGAGGAGGCAGCUCCGAAGAAGCAGGAACCGAGAAAAGAACUGAGAACCGAGAAACCGUAGACAUGUAAAUAUAAGUGCUAUUUUUAUUGUUCGUGAAAUUAUGUUAAUGUAUGCAGAUGGAACGCAAUAAAAUUUACCUC